UUGAAAGCUUUACUAGCAAAAAUCGCUAUUUUACGUUACCAAAUUAAAUUUACAUUGAUUUGUUUCUGUCUGGAUCGUUGUAGUUAAACCGUCGAUACAAGAACCCAUACAUCAUAUAUGGAGGAACGUACCUGAGUGGAAUAAGAAGCUUGUACAGGAGCUUAUCCAGGAGGUUCAGUCUAUUAAACCGAAUCCUCGUCUGAAGAUUCAAGAUUAUCGCAUCGUCCUGAUUGAGCCAGUAGGUUCCGGGAAAUCCAGUUUCUGCAACACUGUCAAUUCGAUGUUCAGAGGACGAAUCACACAGAGGGCAAUAUGUGGUGAUGGAACACAUAGCAUCACAACUUCGUACACACCAUAUUCAAUAAAAUGCAAUCAACAAGAAUCAACGCUACGUUUGCGACUGUGUGACACGAGAGGCCUGGGGCCUGAAUUGGGUCUUGACGUGAUGGAGUUCACCUACUUGUUGAAUGGUCAUAUACCAGAGAACUACAAGGUACGUGCACUCUUCUCUUGGAUUAUC